GUUGAACGCUGGCGGCGUGCCUAAUACAUGCAAGUCGAGCGAAGCGGGGACGUGUGAGUAACACGUGGAUAACCUCCUAUAUGACUGGGAUAACUUCGGGAAACCGGAGCUUAACCGGACACUUAUAGAUGGAUCCGAGCUGCAUUAGCUAGUUGGUAGGGUAACGGCUUACCAAGGCAACGAUGCAUAGCCGACCUGAGAGAGUGAUCGGCCACACUGUAACUGGGACACGGUCAAGACUCCUACGGGAGGCAGCAGUAGGGAGUCUGCCACAAUGGGCGAAAGCCAAACGGAGCAACGCCGCGUGAGUGAUGAAGGUCUUCGGAUCGUAAAACUCUGUUAUUAGGGAGGCGGUACCUGAACAGAAAGCAACGGCUAACUACGUGCCAGCGGCCGCGAUAAUAC
rnacentral:rRNA from 1 species